UUGUGAUAAGCUAUUGUUGUUGUUGCACUGAGUCACAAUGAGCACUAGGCUUUUUUUCGAUCCUUUGCUGAGCAUCAACGAAGAAUUGUAAGUACGUAAGUCUGUUGUUUUGGUCCAACAUUCACCGAAAAAGAAAACCGAACCACGAGGAGAAGGAAAUACAUUAGAGUAAUCGAUGCUGGCGGCGGCGGCGGAAGUGAGACAAGGUUCAGAAGCCUUUUUUACUGGGUCUCAAAUUCAUCGAUGCCAAGUGAAAAUAAUGGACAAAUGGAAUUGGGAGGAAUCAAUCAUGUUUUUACUAUUAAUUGCUUUGCUUGAAACGUGUGGAUCCUGGGUUCUCUGUCUUGUCCAAAAUCAUUGAACUUGGAGAAAACCCGAUAUUGUCACAUUUUCUACCUCAAUCAAUCUGCUCUGAAAAGUGGGUAGAAUGGCCCGAGCCAUGGAAUUCUUUGAUGACAUGGUGGCAAGAGGGUGUCAACUUGAUGUCCACACCUAUAAUACAAUUAUCAAUGGCUUAUGUAAGAUUGGGGAAACUGCUGCAGCUACUGGAUUGUUUAAGAAAAUGAAAGAGGCAGGCUGCCAGCCGAAUGUGGUGAUAUACAGUAUACUCAUUGACAGUCUUUGCAAAGAUAGGCUGAUGAUGAGGCUUUUGAUAUCUUCUCCGAGAUGAAGGCUAAAGGCAUCCCCCCAACGGUUGUCAGUUACACCUCUUUAAUGCAGGGCUUAAGCAAUUUCAGCUGAUGGAAGGAGGCUUCGGCAAUGCUAAAUGAAACAAGGAGUUUGAAUAUCAUUCUGAGUAUUGUCAUCGUCUGCCUGUUGAUUGAUUGAUACAAUUUGUAAAGAAGGCAAGGCUUCCGAGGCUGAAGGUGUGUUCAAAACAAUGACUGAAAUGGGUGUGGAGCCUAACAACGUUAGUUACAAUUCGUUGAUGUAUGGAUAUUCCUUGCGAACGGAAGUUCAUGAAGCUAGAAAUCUAUUUGAUGUCAUGAUAACCACGGGCUCUAAACUUGAUGUUCUUAGUUAUAAAAUCUUAAUUAAUGGAUAUUGUAAGGCCGAAAGAAUAGAUGAGGCCAAGCAACUUUUUAAUGAAAUGAUUCAUCAAGGCUUAACUCAAAACAAUGUCAGUCACAACACUCUUAUUGAUGGCUAUUACCAAUUAGGGAGAGUUAGGGAAGCACAAGAGCUUUUCAAGAACAUGCUCACAAGUGGCAAACUCCUAGAAUAUUUCUUGAUGGCAUUUGCAAACAAGGGUAAUAUGAUAAGGCACUCAGACUGUUUCGAGCAAUGCAAAGUACUUGCUUGAAUCCUGUUCUAGUGAUGUAUAACUUCCUGGUUGAUGCCAUGUGCAAAUUCAGGAAUCUUAAAGACGCAAGGGAACUGUUUUCAGAACUCUUUGUCAAAGGGUUACAGUGUGGUGUUCAGAUAUACUCUACAAUAAUAAAUGGACUUUGUGAAAAAAGAUUGUUAGAUGAAGCAUUGGAAGCUUUCUGAAAUAUGGAAGAGGAUGGCUGCCCUCCAGAUGAAUUUUCCUAAGAUGUUAUUAUCCAAGGAUUUCUCCAGCACAGGGAUGAAUGGCAAUGCAACUUAUUGGUGAAUUGAGAGACAAAGGUUUCAUUGCGGAUGUGGGACCACAACCUCGUAGAAGAUCUGUUAUCUAAUGAAGACAAUCUUGUUUUGAAGAAGUAUCUAGUCCUACGUGAAGUUUGUCAAGGUGAAAAGGUGAUGUAAACUUUUAUUUCUCCAUGCUGCAAAUUCAUGUGGCAAAUAUUAAGUAAUUUUUCCUCAACAUGUAAGUUAUUUUUAGUUCAAUCUUGUCAACAUCUGAACAAUGGCGCCAGU